rnacentral:miRNA from 1 species
AAUGUGUUGAACUGAGUGAAGACA